AUAAUUAGAACAAUAAUGAGGAAAAGAAAAUAAAAUUUUAGAACAGAAGUACCAAUGAAAAUUUUCAGCAAAGAAUGCACAAUGGUAAUUUUCAGCAAACACUGAACAACCAAUAUCCUCAAAUAUAACAACAAAUAAAUGCAAGGCAACUGCAAGAAAUCAGAAUAAUUUUGAUGCCAAAAACAAUGUCGACAAAAGGGUGUUGACCACCUUUCACCGACGCAACAUUGCUGGCAUUAGUGAAAAAUCAUUUCGACGUCGCAGAAAGUUUAAAAUUAAAUUUAAUAUCUUCAAUUUCCAACGUCAUUUAAUAUCUUCAAUUUUCGUGACACGACGUCGGGAAGGAAAGGGCUCCUGACGUUUUCGAAGACGAACAAGAAAGUUCACUCUAUUUCUUUCCCCUUCAACACACAAGGGGUUGUAAAAUGAAAGAAGAGAAAGAGGGAGAGGAGGAGAUCCAUACUGUCGUUCGUCCUUCUUUGUCGCCGCCACCAUUAGAGUGUCAUCUUCCCCUCUUUCUCCUCUGUCACUAUUUCUCACUCUCCCUCCCUCCUUUCCUCCACUUUCUCUCUCCCUCUCUGAAUCGCCCAUCUGCCUUUCUCAUUCUUGCUACUUUCUCUCUUUCUCUCUAAAUCGUUCAACUUCGUCCCUUCUUCAAUUUAUUAGCGAGUUUCUUUUGAUUUGUCUCCUUCUUGACUCUUUAAUUAGAGAUUGAUCGAACUUCCAAGUUUAGUCUCUCGAUGGAUUAAUCAUUAUAAAUCAUCUCUAAAUUGAAUUUGUUUUUUGAAAUAUUGGGAAGUAAAAGAAUGGAAUGGUGAAUGUCGACGUGAGCAAAUGAAUGGUGAAAAAAUAACAGAGACAUGAAAAACCAUAAAAAAUUUGUAAAUGGACCUCAUCAUCGAAAAAUAAAGUUAGAGUGAAAUCGAGAACCUCUAGCCCUAUUGUGCUCAUAAAUCUCCAAUGCCCACUCUUGAAUGUAGCAUCUGUCUAUUCUUAGGCACUAGGGUAGAGAUGCAGGAGUGGCAAGAGAAAGUCUGCGGGCGAUAAGGAUAUUUCUUGCAUGUUCACCGAGAAGACUCUUCUUCAAACAUGCAAGGAACUGUUUGGGAGGCAAGGUGAAAGCCCAACCAUUCAACGAAGCCAAAGAGAGGAAUGAAAAGGGUUUUAGAGGCAAUGCGUGUGCCAACGCUCAACUGUAAUCUGUAUAUUCUUGUUGACAAGAGGUCUCGGGUUCAAAUCUACAUCCACAUUUAUUACAAUACCUUUGCAAAAAAAAAACCUUCAACGAAACGAAUGACACAAAUUUCAAAGAUUUGGAGAGAAAGAGAACCCCAUUAGGAGAAGAAAUCGAACAUAACAAAAAAGAACGAAAUAACUUCGAAGAUGAAAACGACCACAAACCCAAACCCAAUCGUUUUGGAGAGGAAGACGAAAAGAGAAGUGGGAGUAGAGGAAGAACACGAGAAGCAUGAGGAAGUUUAAGGAUGAAGUAAAAAUGGAUUACCG
rnacentral:lncRNA from 1 species